rnacentral:rRNA from 1 species
ACGAACGCUGGCGGCGUGCUUAACACAUGCAAGUCAAGGGGGCUCAGCAAUGGGCAACCGGCGAACGGGUGCGUAACACGUGAGCAAGCUUUCGAUUUGUGGGGGAUAGCCGGCCCAACGGCCGGGUAAUACCGCAUACGUUCACUGGACGGCAUCGUCUGGUGAGGAAACCUCCGGGGCAAAUCGAGGCGCUCGCGGCCUAUCAGCUAGUUGGCGGGGUAACGGCCCACCAAGGCGACGACGGGUAGCUGGUCUGAGAGGAUGGCCAGCCACAUUGGGACUGCGACACGGCCCAGACUCCUACGGGAGGCAGCAGUGGGGAAUAUUGCGCAAUGGACGAAAGUCUGACGCAGCGACGCCGCGUGUGGGAUGAAGCCUUUCGGGGUGUAAACCACUGUUGCCCGGGACGAACAUCCGCUUUCGAGCGGACUGACGGUACCGGGUGAGGAAGCACCGGCUAACUCUGU